rnacentral:rRNA from 1 species
CCUACGGGAGGCAGCAGUGGGGGAUAUUGGACAAUGGGGGCAACCCUGAUCCAGCGACGCCGCGUGAGUGAAGAAGGAUUUCGGUAUGUAAAGCUCUGUCAGCAGGGACGAAAGCAGUGACGGUACCUGACCAAGAAGCCCCGGCUAACUACGUGCCAACAGCCGCGGUAAUACGUAGGUGGCAAGCGUUAUCCGGAGUUACUGGGUGUAAAGGGAGCGUAGACGGCUAUGCAAGUCUGGUGUGAAAGGGGAGGGCCCAACCCCGAGCCUGCACUUGAAACUGUGUGUCUGGAGGGCUGGAGAGGCAAGCGGAAUGCCGGGUGUAGGGGUGAAAUGCGUAGAUAUACGGAGGAACACCAGGGGCGAAGGCGGAUUGCUGGACAGUAACUGACGCGGAGGCGCGAAAGCGUGGGGAGCAAACAGGAUUAGAUACCCUAGUAGUC